CACAGAUCCCACACAGCCCGUACACUGUCAAUGUGGCUGAAGCGUGCAGCCCGUCCUCGUGCCGCGCGUGGGGCCGGGGGCUGCAGCCCAAGGGGGUGCGCGUGCACGAGGCGGCCGACUUCCGCGUGCACACCAACGGAGCCGGGAGCGGGGAACUGCGCGUCACCGUGCGGGGACCGCAGGGUUCUGAGGUCCCGGUGUCGGUCGGCUGCGGCGCUGGCUGC